GCACUCCAGCAAACCCUCUGCACCUUGUCUGGUGUGGCAGAAGGGCAAUACGAGUGACACAGAAACCUCAAAAUUAAUCCAGAUGGUCCUCCUUGCAGUGGAGUCCGUCUCUACAGUUUUGACACAUUU